rnacentral:lncRNA from 1 species
UCCCUGGCUGUCUCACAUCUCCCCUAUUGGAGCUAAGUGUGGUGCUGUAUUUAGCAGGGUAUCUGGCAGAUAUUUUAAGUUAAUUGAAAUAUCACCCUAAAUUUCCAGAUUCUGGUAAACUGAAGUGCAAUUUCAAAAAGUUACUUGUAUUUAUGUGUGUGCACAUAUGUGUGCAGGUACCCACCGAAAUCUGCAGAGGGCAUCAGAUGCCCCAGAGCUGGAACUGACAGUUGUGAGCCUGAUAUGAGUUCUGGGAAUGAGCUCAGUCCUCUGGAAGAGCUGCAAGCACUGUUAACUGCUGAGCCAUCUUUUCAGUCCCUCAUGUAUAGAUUAAAAAAAAUUGGGGUUUGAAGAUCCUCAUUUGUGAGAAAUUCUUUCUUACCUUUGCAAACACUUUUUCUCAUUUUUAGUAUAUGUAUUCAUAUUUUACUGUCUCAUUUUCAAUAUAUGUGGUCACAGUUUUUAAGUAUUUCUAAGGCAUAACAAAGAUGUAAUAUUAAGAAUAAAUAAAGGAAAAGAAUAAAUCAAUAAUCCAGAUGGUAGUGACAGACACCUUUAAUCCCAGUACUAAGGAAACAGAGAUAGGUAAAUCUGUAUGAAUUUGAGACAUGCCUGUUCUACAAAGAAAUUUCAGGACAUCUAGGGGUAUCUACAAAGAAACACUGUCUCAAAAAAUGCCAAACAAUCAAAGAAAAAAACAAACUAACUAACAAGAAUCAAUCAAUGAUAAGACAGUUUGAAGAUGGGUUGAUACCCUGCGCUGGCCACAUACCCAACUUGGUUUCAAACACAAAUCCUUCUGACAUUGUGUUAACCUUGCCAUCAUUUUUAUAUUAACAUUUUAACCAUAAUGUAGUUAAUUGUCUUGAAAUCAACUCUCAAAGUAAGAUGAAAUUGUCCGUUAUGUGUUACAUAUACCUUUAUACAAUUAAAAAAAUA